CGGGCGGAUCACCUGAGUGAGGUCAGGAGUUCAAGACCAGCCUGGCCAACAUGGCGAAACCCCGUCUCUACUAAAAAUACAAAAAUUAGCUGGGCAUGGUGGCGCAUGCCUGUAAUCCCAGCUACUCCGGAGGCUGGGGCAGGAGAAUCGAUUGAACUGGGAAGUGGAGAUUGCAGUGAGCGGAGAUCGAGCCACUGCACUCCAGCCUGGGCAACAGAGCGAGACUGUGUCUCAAAAACAAACAAAAAAGCCCAAGAAGCACAUAGAUAACAUGGUUUCACUGUUGUAACAUUGUAUCUGUACUUUGCUACACAUGGAUAAGUAGCUAUAAUUGUUUGGACAAGCUUUUGCUACAAUGUUUGCUGGGAUUGUUCCUGUCUUCUUUGUAGUUUUCUUUCAUUUUUAUUAUGAAAUCAAAAUAAUUGAAAAAUGAAAUUAAAGCACACAGAAAAUGC
rnacentral:lncRNA from 10 species